GAUGGUUAAUCUAAACUCAUAUGGUAGUUUGUGUUUAUUUUUAUUAUUAUUAGUUUAUUAUUAGUAGUUUCCCAUUGAAUAUAGAUUACAUGCAGGAAAGGUACCCUUGUCAUGGUCCUUACACUCAAGGAACUUAAAAUAAAAAGAGGAAGGAAGUCCUGGGUAAGAGCAAUUCAAGCAGCAAAAGAGGCAGGCUUGCAGCAGAGUGCAGCUGAAGGGCUCUCUGGGCUCAGAGAAGGGAAUGGCUGCUUCGCACACAAGGGUUGGGAAGAUCUCUGCACAAAGUGACACCAGGAAUGUCAAUCGAUGGUUUCAUACUACUGACAAAAAUGGAGAUGCUGUCCUAGAGAGUUCCAGAAACUAAGCCACAUUAACAAGUGAUUAUUAUGCAAAAAGAGCAACAGUUUAAAUAGACUGUAGAAAGGAUGUCCUCAUAAUGCUGUCCAAAGUUCCUGGAAUUUGGCUUCUUGUUACCAUGGAGGAGGCAGAAGUAGGUAUCUCAUGAGAUACCCUGAUAUGAGCUGUGGAAAAAUGGGAGAAACAUGAGACAAGUUGAAGAUGGCAAAAGAAAAGCUUACAAUGGUAACAAAUACGUAACAAAGCUGGCAAGAGAGGAGGAAGUACAAAAAACUCACCAACGUUUCUUAUACCACAACACAGGAACUAUCAGAAGCACCAGGAGCACUACCACUACCAAGUGCCAUCUACAACCAUGGAAAGGCCCCAGCCAGACCAGCAGGAUGAACUCCUGGCCAGACCGCUUGCUGUACACUGUGAAGUGACUGGAUUGGAAGAACUCAGUGGUGUCUAAUUCCAUUUCAAAUUUAAUAUUCUUUGAUUUGAUCUGUGUUCUUCGGCAUUCC
rnacentral:lncRNA from 1 species